AGCUUUAUGCAGUGGCAGUAUUGAAGCCAAUGAGGUUUAUCCAAGGCACGAUUAUUGUUUAUGGAAAAGUCUGUCAGUUAA
rnacentral:snRNA from 1 species